UUUAGAAGGAACAUUUAUAAAUAUAUAAUAUCAAAUAAUACUGACGUACUUUUCUUAUAAUUUUAGAAGUUUAAUUUGAAGUUGCAUAUAUAUGAUAGAUAUAUUUUAUAUUAAUCUUUCUUAUUAUUCUUUUUAAA
rnacentral:miRNA from 1 species